rnacentral:lncRNA from 13 species
ACCCCAAGCUUUUAUAUAGACACAAGUCUUCCUCUUAUCUCGUGUGUGUGGUGUUGGGGUUGUUGCCCAGGGAGCUGAGGAAGAGUGGGAGGAGGACACACCGAACCCUCCAGACCAACAGAACCCUACAGGAUUGGGGAGGAAGGAGCUACUCUCACCCAUACCCCUCCCCCCAACCCCCCACCACAUCUCCUUACCAUACCAGGAGAAGAGAGGAGGAGGAGGAGGAGGAGGAGAUAAAAGGUGUGAGGAGAGUUGGAGAGGAGUAGAGCGGAGGGGCCAACAGAGAAGAUAUGGAAGGGGAGGAGAGAAAGGAGAGGAGAGGGCAAUGGAUGGCGAGAGAGAGACCCCUGUCCUUCCUGUCUUAGCGAGGGUGGGUAGAGAUGGAGAGAGAGUGAAGCGAGACCAGAGAGAGGAGAAUCAACCCACAAACAGAGGGCAUGACCUAACGCGUGUAAGGAGACUGGUAUUCCAAGCCAGUGAGGAGCCGCAGAAACACAGCCGCAGCAGCAGAGAGCGAGAGAAGAGGACCCGCACACACUCUCUCACACAUCAAGAGAGGGAGAGCGACAGGGCAGCACACAGAAACACACCGGCAGCACAGGAAAGAUGCACCACGCUGCACACACUUGGAAACACACAAAGAGAGAAGAAAAGGGACAGGGGCUCGGCAGCUAUGAGAAACACUUAUCCUCUCUACACGAACACACUGGCAGAGAAAGACAAAACCACACAGACCGAGAACCGCCGAGACGAGCACCCUGGGAGGAGACGGCAGACUGUGUCAGCCACGGGCCAUGCUGGACUUGGUACAGCUGGUGUCGCGGGGCAGCCCAGUGGUGGAGAGGAUGAGAGGUGUUCUGUAUGUCUGGGGACGGGAACACUGGUCACCUCCUCUUCCUCCAGGCCACUAGAGGGACACUCCCAGACACACACACACAGCCAAGUGUUCAAGUGCCCAGCUCCAGGCAAGUCAGGUUUGGGCAGGCAGAAGAAACUGUUGGACAAUGAAGAUGUCCUCUCUGUGUGUUCUGAGCUGCUGGACAGUGAGAUCCGUAAAAUAAUGGAGACUCCAGUCACCACAUAUAAACCCACCUAUAGGUGCUCAGGCUGUGGGUUGCGGUUCAGUGAGGUGACCAGCCGGUCAUUCCCUCUCCUCCAGAGGUUCUGUCCUCACAGCUGUGACCUGCACAUGGUGCUGCAGCAGGCCACACACAGCUACACAAAGUGCCUCCGAGAAAUAUGCAGGAGGAGAGACGCACACACGACCAAGCAGAGAGAGGGAGGGAUGCAGAGCGUCCCGGAUAACUGCAGAGAUGCCAGUCUAACUCCUAUCCAUAAAGGAACCCUGCUGAAGAGCUUCUCAACCCACAGAGGACAACACAGAAAUGACCACAACCAUGUGAGUCUCACCCCUCUAAAGAAGCGUAGUCCAUAUGGAGAUAUCACCCUGACUCCUGUGCGUAGAGGUGGUCUUAUGAGGAGCGUCUCCUCUGUGACCAGCAGGGGGCAGGAGAGAGGAGAUGUUAGUCUCACUCCCUUGAAGAAGGCUCGGCCCUCUGAAGACAGGAGAACAGAUCAUGAGGAAGAUGGUGCCAUUGAUGAUCAGCAGGAGACUCUGUUCAUGGGAAAACCCUCUCUGACUAGGGAGAGGAGGAAAUUCAGCCGUGACGAGGAGCGUUACCUGUGUCGAGGUUUGGUCUAUCCUGGAACACCAUCCUGUGGUCCUAUCCCUUCCAGCCGGGGCGCACCAAUGUAGAUCUGGCCAAGACAUACAAACACCUGCAGGCUAAAUUCCAGGGUAUGGAUUCAACCUCUCCCUGAGAUCUGAGAAGAACACACUGAUUUGUCUAUUGUACAUCACAGUAAUAUAUUUGAAAUACUCUAAUUUAAUAUUGAGUAAUAGUUUUGAAGUACUUACAUUUAAUCCCCAGUUUGAAAUUGUUAACUUCUAUUUUGUACUACUGUAAGUAAACUACAUGAAGAUCUAUUUGAAAUGCGUUCAUUUAAUACUCAUUGAGGAUUAAUGACCGAUCUGAUCUGGUGCCUAUGUGAAGUAGUUGAAUAUUAUUUGGAAUAGAAAAAUGGAAAUGAUUAAUGUAACUCGACAUUUUUCAUAAUUUUGUUCACUGUUCAUGUAUGUCUUGAGACGGUGGUUCACUUGUCAUCUCCUGAAGUUGUUUAUAUUGCAUUAAACAGAAGGGUGUCCUAUAUGCAGCACAACACAUCUUUGAAUAGAGUGGAUCAGGCUGUUGAUUGUAGAAUGUUGUCCUGCUCCUUCAAUGGCUAUGCGAAGUUGCUGGAUAUUGGCGUGAACUGGAACAUGCUGUCGUAAUGUAAAUCCAGAGCAUCCCAAACAUGCUCAAUGGGUGACCAUGUCUGGGUAUGCAAGCCAUGGAAGAACUUGGACAUUUUCAACUUCUAGCAAUUGUGUGCAGAUCCAUCACCAUCAUGCUGAAACAUAAGCUGAUGGCUGUGGAUGAAUGUCACAAUAAUGGGCCUAAAGAUCUCGUCACUGUCUCUGUGCAUUCAAAUUGCCAUCGAUAAAAUGCAAUUGUCCGUAGCUUAUGCCUGGCCAUACCAUAACCAAACCGCCAUCAUGGGGCACUGUUCACAAUGAUAUCAGCAAACCGCUCGCCCACACGACACCAUACACGCUGUCUGCCAUCUAUCCAGUAUAGUUGAAACUGAUUCAUCCGUCAAGCGCACACUUCAGAGUGCCAGUGGUUAUUGAAGAUGAUCAUUUGCCCACUGAAGUUGGUUAAGACUGCCGAAAUGCAGUCCGGUCAAGACCCUGGUGGGGACGACGAGCAUGUUGAUGAGCUUCCCUGAGACUGUUUCUGACAGUUAGUGCAGAAAUUCUUCGCUUGUGCAAACCCAGCUGUCCGGGUGGCUCGUCUCAGAUCAUCCCGCAGGUGAAGAAGCCGGAUGUGGAGGUUCUGGGCUGGUGUGGUUAAGCAUGGUCUGCGGUUGUGAGGACGGUUGGGCGUACUGCCACAUUCUCUAAAAUGAAGUUGGAGGUUGCUUAUGGUAGAGAAAUUAACAUUCAAUUCUCUGACAACAGCUCUGGUGGACAAACAUUCCUGCAGUCAGCAUGCCAUUUGCAUACUCCCUCAACUUGAGACAACUGUAUCAUUGUGUUGUGUGAGAAAACUGCACAUUUUAGUGGCAUUUUAUUGUCCCGAGCACAAGGUGCACCUGUGUAAUGAGCAUGCUGUUUAAUCAGCUUCUUGAUAUGUCAUACCUGUCAGGUGGAUGGAUUAUCUAGGCAAAAAAGGAAUGCUCACUAUCAGGGAUGUAAACAAGUUAGUGCACAACAUUUGAUGGAAAUAAGAUUUUUGUGCAUAUGAACAUUUCUGGGAUCUUCUAUUUCAGCUCAUGAAACAUGGGACCAACGUUUAACGUUUAUAUUUUUGUUCAGUAUAGAUAUUAGAGUUGGAGACAAUUUUAUGCAAUCCAGGACUUUGGGUGUGUGAGUGUGGUUUAGACAUGCAUGAAACAGGAGACUGAAUGGGAGAAGAAAAG